GACGAACGCUGGCGGCGUGCUUAACACAUGCAAGUCGAACGAAAAUACCAAGCUUGCUUGGUUGAUUAGUGGCGAACGGGUGAGUAACACGUGAGUAACCUGCCCCUUACUUUCCUGGAUAACUGCUCGAAAGGGUAGCUAAUACGGGAUAUUCUGACCAGCCUGCAUGGGUUGGUUUGGAAAGGUUGUUUUUCUGGUAAGGGAUGGGCUCGCGGCCUAUCAGCUUGUUGGUGGGGUGAUGGCCUACCAAGGCCUUGACGGGUAGCCGGCCUGAGAGGGUGGACGGUCACACUGGGACUGAGAUACGGCCCAGACUCCUACGGGAGGCAGCAGUGGGGAAUAUUGCACAAUGGGCGCAAGCCUGAUGCAGCGACGCCGCGUGAGGGAUGAAGGCCUUCGGGUUGUAAACCUCUUUCGUCAGGGAACAAGGCACUGCUUUUUUGGUGGUGUUGAGGGUACCUGGAUAAGAAGCGCCGGCUAACUACGUG
rnacentral:rRNA from 1 species